rnacentral:rRNA from 1 species
AUUGAACGCUGGCGGCAUGCUUUACACAUGCAAGUCGAACGGUAACAGGCCGCAAGGUGCUGACGAGUGGCGAACGGGUGAGUAAUGCAUCGGAACGUGCCCAGUCGUGGGGGAUAACGCAGCGAAAGCUGCGCUAAUACCGCAUACGAUCUCUGGAUGAAAGCGGGGGACCGAAAGGCCUCGCGCGAUUGAAGCGGCCGAUGUCAGAUUAGGUAGUUGGUGGGGUAAAGGCCCACCAAGCCAACGAUCUGUAGCUGGUCUGAGAGGACGACCAGCAACACUGGGACUGGGACACGGCCCAGACUCCUACGGGAGGCAGCAGUGGGGAAUUUUGGACAAUGGGCGCAAGCCUGAUUCAGCAAUGCCGCGUGCAGGAAGAAGGCCUUCGGGUUGUAAACUGCUUUUGUACGGAACGAAACGGUCCGGGUUAAUACCCUGGGCUAAUGACGGUACCGUAAGAAUAAGCACCGGCUAACUACGUGCCAGCAGCCGCCGUAACAC